GAUGAACGCUGGCGGCGUGCCUAAUACAUGCAAGUCGAGCGAACAGACGAGGAGCUUACUCCUCUGACGUUAGCGGCGGACGGGUGAGUAACACGUGGAUAACCUACCUAUAAGACUGGGAUAACUUCGGGAAACCGGAGCUAAUACCGGAUAACAUGUUGAACCGCAUGGUUCAACAGUGAAAGACGAUCUUGCUGUCACUUAUAGAUGGAUCCGCGUCGCAUUAGCUAGUUGGUAAGGUAACGGCUUACCAAGGCAACGAUGCGUAGCCGACCUGAGAGGGUGAUCGGCCACACUGGAACUGAGACACGGUCCAGACUCCUACGGGAGGCAGCAGUAGGGAAUCUUCCGCAAUGGGCGAAAGCCUGACGGAGCAACGCCGCGUGAGUGAAGAAGGUCUUCGGAUCGUAAAACUCUGUUAUUAGGGAAGAACAAAUGUGUAAGUAACUAUGCACGUCUUGACGGUACCUAAUCAGAAAGCCACGGCUAACUACGUG
rnacentral:rRNA from 1 species